CAGAGGGUGCGAGCGUUAAUCGGAUUUACUGGGCGUAAAGCGUGCGUAGGCGGCUUCUUAAGUCGGAUGUGAAAUCCCUGAGCUUAACUUAGGAAUUGCAUUCGAUACUGGGAAGCUAGAGUAUGGGAGAGGAUGGUAGAAUUCCAGGUGUAGCGGUGAAAUGCGUAGAGAUCUGGAGGAAUACCGAUGGCGAAGGCAGCCAUCUGGCCUAAUACUGACGCUGAGGUACGAAAGCAUGGGGGAGCAAACAGGAUU
rnacentral:rRNA from 1 species